CCCUAGCCCCGAUUGCAACGGCAUCCUUUUUGGUUGCGGGCGAAGCGAAGCGGAGCCCGUAAACAAAAAGAUAUAGUGGAAAGCGGGAUAAAGC
rnacentral:sRNA from 1 species